AUUGAACGCUGGCGGCAUGCCUAACACAUGCAAGUCGAACGAGUGGCGGACGGGUGAGUAAUGUCUUGGCACCUGCCUAAUCGAGGGGGAUAACUACUGGAAACGUUAGCUAAUACCGCAUACGAUCAGAUCUGCCGACAUGGGAUGAGCUAGUGGGUGGGGUAAAGGCUCACCAAGGCGACGAUCCGUAGCUGGUCUGAGAGGAUGACCAGCCACACUGGAACGGAGACACGGCCCAGACUCCUACGGGAGGCAGCAGUGGGGAAUAUUGGACAAUGGGCGAAAGCCUGAUAGAGCCAUGCCGCGUGUAUGAAGAAGGCCUUCGGGUUGUAAAGUACUUUUGGCGGAGAGGCGGUAUCUGAAGAAUAAGCACCGGCUAACUACGUGCCAGCAGCCGCGGUAAUUC
rnacentral:rRNA from 1 species